CCGCCCCCGAACACCUGCGCGGCUGUCCCGGCUUCCGCGCUCCAGGCUCUGUAGGAGAGUCCCGGCCCGCUGCUGCCCCGGGCGAGCCGGGCACCGCGCUCCCGCCGCCUCUGCGUCCGGGCCGGAUGGGUCUGCAAUGGAAUUUAUUGCGCUGGAGGAGAGAUUUGUUCCUGACUCCUGAUGUUUUCCUGUGCGGCCUGGGCAGUGCUGGUUUCUCCCUUUCCAAGGAAGGCUGUCAGGGCUUUGCCCAGAGCACACGGGCAGGAGAUGCAUCACUCCCUUUCUCUUCAAGAGUUGUUCCCUUUAUGCUGCUGUUAAUUUGGGACACAGUGCUUUUGUGUCAAAGCAGGAAGGAAGCACCCCCUUCACUGAAGGAAUCCUGUCGAUAUUCUGGGGUGUGUGGCAUCCUAUCAGAUUAAAGAUUCAGGAUGAGAAGCAGAUACUCUCUUUUGUAACCCGGAAAUCAACAGAGAAUUUGGGCUUUUUCCCCAGUAAAAGGUAAUGGAUGGACUUCCCUAGGGAGGCUGGCAUUGCAAGAUAGCUCGUGUUGUGGCUUCAAUGGCAGUGGCUGGCUGCCCUGGAUACCCCAGAUUCCCCAAAGGCUGUGGUGGUUGCUGGAAGGUGUGUGUUUGUAGCACCUUUGUUUGGCCCUCAGCCUGAGGAGCUGGAAGGAGGCUGCUCUUUCUCAUGGGAACUGGCAAUUUCUAUACAAGGACGGGGAAAUUGAUGUAUAUAAAUGUAUAGGAAAAGACCAAACAAUCCCCCUGUGUUUCCAUGUGCACCUGAUACUGGUAGCCCCUGAGAAGCCUCAUGUGGGUGUGCACACUGGAGCAUGAAGCCAGAAUCUGGUGGGUAAGUGCUGAAGGAUUGUCUGUCCCAGCUUACAGGUAUGUGAGGUCUGCAACCAUUGCUGCUCAGGUGAAGUUCAAGUCAGGGAAUGGAUACUGGCUUUGUCUGUGCAAAAUUUGGUGUAAAAACUUCUUAAAAUACUCAGAGACCAGCUGUUCCAGCUGCUGCCAAUGGCAUUUUAUAUCCGAAUGUGUUGUGCUCAGCUGAUACAGGUACUCAGUGUACUUUUCCUUUUUGAACACUGUUUCCCCAGCCUUGGUUGGUAAAUUUGAUGAGCUGAUUCUGAAUCUUGUAAUACAGAGGCAGAGCCAAUGUUCACCCUGAAUGACUCCCUGAUAAAUUGAGUAUUGCAGAGUUUAUUUUUCUAAUUACUUAUUGUCUUUGGUUGCAUGUGAGGCAUGUUGGAACUGAACUGGGGAUUUAAUUCUGCAACCUUUGCAGCUGUGGAGUUCCAGUAGAGUCUUCUUCCCCAUCUCUGGCUGCUGAAAUUCAGGGAUGAAUUUUGACAGGAG
rnacentral:lncRNA from 1 species